rnacentral:lncRNA from 1 species
CCACGUAUCAACAUAUAUGACAUCUUAAAACCUGUCAUUUCAGCUCCUUUACAUAUUAUAAGAUUUACAGCAUACUUAAUUAGAUGUAAGCAUAAUUAGUUCAAGUCCAACUUUUUCCUUGUUGUAUAUUGAAAAGACAAAGGUUAUAACUAUCAUAUGUGCGAUUUUUUUUUAAGUUACAUUUCGAUGAUUCUGUCCAAUCUGGAACAUGUCGCCUUGCAACAAUCCUAUCUAGGGUCGUUAUUUUGGAGCUUGUGGUUCUUUUAUAAUUGACAAAUGUUGUAAAAUAUUUUGGUUGUAUUAUAUUGUUCUAUGAUUUUAGUCCGGACCAUGGUGGUUAUAGUGGGCAUAAUUUAUAGUGGACUGGUAGGUGACCGGUAGCCUGUAGGCUACCACCCAUACCGAGUGGUUGUAUCAAGCAAUGCACCACCUGGUUUGGCUUGUACCAGUCAGGUGUCAGUACAGGUGCCAAAACCGAUACUUAAAACCUUGAUAUUUUCAUGUGACAAUAUAACGGUGUUUCCAUUCGUUUGUUUACUUCUCUUUCACUUGAUACAACUUAUGUAA